UAAAUGAGACAUUUUCUGAUCUAUUCCUCUGUAUUUACCAUGGUAAACUACGACACUUCAGUACAGAAUGGGCCAGGACCAAAUUCCAAAGACUGCCCUGAGAUGGACAGAAGAAAAGAACAAGACGUGGAAACAAAUCAUUAAUGCCUUCUCUCCCACUAGUGAUGAAGAGGAGUAAAUAAUGUUGUGACCCUCCUAUCUGCCUGCAGAGAGUCCUCACUGACUACAGCAGUGCAAUGAGCCGCCAGUGUUUCAUUCAGAGCACAUGCUAAUAAUGCUCCUCUACUCAUGAACAGCCCAUUACAGCACAAAGAAGCUCUUGUGUUGAAGAGGAGAGCCAAGUUGUUAUCUUGGGCUCUUACUUGAGGAAGCUCCAGGCCAGGCAUGGAGACAGACAGUGUAGGACGCAGGAGGGCA